rnacentral:rRNA from 1 species
CCCUUAGAUGUCCUGGGCCGCACGCGCGUUACACUGAUGCAUUCAACGAGCUUAUAACCUUGGCCGAGAGGCCUGGGCAAUCUUGUUAACGUGCAUCGUGAUAGGGAUAGAUUAUUGAAAUUAUUAAUCUUGAACGAGGAAUUCCUAGUAAACGCAGAUCAUCAAUCUGCAUUGAUUACGUCCCUGCCCUUUGUACACACCGCCCGUCGCUACUACCGAUUGGAUGGUUUAGUGAGAUCCUCGGAUUGGUCCCGGCAUGGUGGGUUACCGCCGCGCCGGCGCGCCGAAAAGACGAUCAAACUUGAUCAUCUAGAGGAAGUAAAAGUCGUAACA